rnacentral:snoRNA from 1 species
UGGGUCGAUGUUGAUAAAUGCCAGCGUAUGAGUCAUCGAUGACGAAUAAUAUGUGUCUGGAACUCUGAGGUCCAA